GAUGAACGCUGGCGGCGUGCCUAAUACAUGCAAGUCGAGCGAACAGACGAGGAGCUUGCUCCUCUGACGUUAGCGGCGGACGGGUGAGUAACACGUGGAUAACCUACCUAUAAGACUGGGAUAACUUCGGGAAACCGGAGCUAAUACCGGAUAAUAUAUUGAACCGCGUGGUUCAAUAGUGAAAAACGGUUUUGCUGUCACUUAUAGAUGGAUCCGCGCCGCAUUAGCUAGUUGGUAAGGUAACGGCUUACCAAGGCAACGAUGCGUAGCCGACCUGAGAGGGUGAUCGGCGACACAGUAACUGAGACACGGGCCAGAAUCCUACGGGAGGCAGUCGUAGGGAAUCUGCAGCAAUGGGCGAAAGCCUGACGGAGCAAAGCCGCGUGAGUGAUGAAGGUCUUCGGAGCGUAAAACUCUGUUAUUAGGGAAGAACAAAUGUGUAAGUAACUAUGCACGUCUUGACGGUACCUAAUCAGAAAGCCACGGCUAACUACGUG
rnacentral:rRNA from 1 species